GACGAACGCUGGCGGCGUGCCUAACACAUGCAAGUCGAGCGGAGACAGUGAGUAGCUUGCUAUGAGCUGUUUUAGCGGCGGACGGGUGAGUAACGCGUGAGCAACCUUUCCCAGACAGGGGAAUAACACACCGAAAGGUGUACUAAUACCGCAUAAGACCACGGGAUCACAUGGUUCUGGGGUAAAAGAUUUAUCGGUUUGGGGUGGGCUCGCGUCCGAUUAGGUAGUUGGUGAGGUAACGGCCACCAAGCCGACGAUCGGUAGCCGACCUGAGAGGGUGAUCGGCCACAUUGGGACUGAGACACGGCCCAAACUCCUACGGGAGGCAGCAGUGGGGAAUAUUGGGCAAUGGAGGAAACUCUGACCCAGCAACGCCGCGUGGAGGAAGAAGGUUUCGGAUCGUAAACUCCUGUCCUUGGAGACGAGUAGAAGACGGUAUCCAAGGAGGAAGCCCCGGCUAACUACGUG
rnacentral:rRNA from 1 species